rnacentral:lncRNA from 1 species
GAGUGGAGACUAUUCGGAAGCACCUGUGUACUCUAUAUUCUCAUUGUUCAGUACUUGGUAUGGACUUCAAUGAGGUUGUUAGCCAAGUCAAUCCCACAUUAACUGAUCCAGAGGGACCAAGAAGCUUAAGUGAUCAUACCAUUGACACCUUGGAUGCUGCAGUUCAAAAGCUGAGGGAAGUUAAGAUACAGAGAAUGCAGAAGGUAAAUGAUAUAAUUGCUUUUGCGAGUUUUAUCUAGAUAGUGUCUUUGAUGUUGUUGUCACUCAUAGUUGCUUACUGGAUUCUUAUGAAGCUUCAAGAUCUAGCAACAACCAUGUUAGAGCUCUGGAAUUUGAUGGAUACACCCAUAGAAGAGCAGCAAGAGUAUCAGCACAUUACCUGCAAUAUAGCUGCAUCAGAACAUGAAAUAACUCAAGCCAAUAGUCUCUCUCAAGACUUCAUCAAAUACGUAAGCUGUUGAAAAACUUUCAUGGUUACACUGUUGUAUAACAACACUAUAAUCAAGCUUACAAGUAAAUGGAAGUUUCUUUUUAUGUUCAUGUCUGUAAACCUUAACGUGAGUUCCAUUGCCAUAUACAGGUCGAGGCAGAAGUUGUCCGAUUGGGCGAGGUAAAGGCAAGCAAAAUGAAAGAACUUGUUGUGAAGAAGAGAUCAGAGCUAGAGGAGAUAUGUAGGAAAACCCACAUGUUACCAGUUUCAGAUAGUGCUAUGGAUCAGACUAUAGUAGCCAUAGAAUCUGGUAUUGUGGACGCCACAUUGGUCCUGGAGCAUCUUGAGCAACAUAUAUCUAAGGUCAAAGAGGAAGCUUUAAGUAGGAAGGAGAUACUUGAGAAGGUCGAGAAAUGGUUGUCUGCCUGCGAUGAGGAAAGCUGGCUUGAAGAAUACAACAGGGUUAGAGCCGCGGAAUCACAAACAGUUAUAAAGUCACAAAGUUCGUUACAUUUUUUUCUGAUAUUUUCUGUUUAUUUUUCCACUCUACAGGACGAUAACAGAUACAAUGCUGGACGAGGAGCUCAUCUAACUCUCAAGCGUGCUGAGAAAGCUCGUAAUCUUGUUAACAAACUUCCAGGUAAGUUACUCUUUGUUAAUCAACAUAUCACAAAUGUUUAUGCUCUGAAUAGAUUAUGAUGGUAAUAAUGUCUUUUCAUCUUCAUUCAUCCAGUAAUGGUAGAAGCACUGGCUUCGAAGACAAUAGUUUGGGAACAAGAGAAGGGAAUUGAAUUCCUCUAUGAUGGUGUAUGACUUCUCUAUAAAUUCUCAGUUGACAAUUAUUCAUAAUGUCAUCGCUGACCAUUUGUAGUCCUCUGUUUCUGUGUCUAGAUUCGUCUUUUGUCCAUGCUUGAGGAGUAUAACUUACUGAGGCAGGAAAGAGAAGAAGAACACCGUCGCCAACGAGUAUGUACUUCACUUCGUUUCAAUCAGAAACUCUUGGCCAGUACUAUCUUCUUAAACUAACUCCAUGUUUUCUGCAUAUUAAAGGAUCAUAAGAAGCUCCAAGGACAGCUCAUAGCAGAACAAGAGGCGCUCUAUGGAUCAAAACCGAGCCCAUCAAAACCCCUUGGUGGCAAAAAGGCUCCAAGAAUGUCAACCGGUGGUGCCGCAACCAACCGAAGACUCUCCUUAGGAGCAGGGAUGCAUCAGACUCCUAAACCUAACAAGAAAGCAGAUCAACGCCAAGCCGAUGGAGCUUUAUCAACUGGUAAUCUUUUGUCUUAACAAUAAAAAUGGAACUAAGUUGCUUAUCCAUAGUGUUGGGUGCUUCUCUUAAUUGCAUUGAUCUCCUGCAGGAAGGAGAGGGCUCGAUGUUGCUGGACUUCCCUCGAGGAAACAGUCAAUGAAUCCUUGUGAACAGCUACAGUCUCCGCUAGUUCGUAAACCAUUCUCACCCAUCUCGACCACGGUGGUUGCAUCAAAGGCCAACAUAGCAACGCCACAGCAACUUGUUCCAAUCUCGAAAAGCAACGCAGUGAACGAGAUAUCCUCAUUUGCAACUCCGGUCAAGAACAACAACAUUAUCAAGAAUUUGGAAGAGGAGAAGAUGAUGAUGAUGAUGAUGAUGCAAACACCAAAGAAUGUAGCAGCGAUGAUUCCGAUCCCAUCAACACCAGCAACAAUCUCUGUCCCCAUGCAAACUGCACCAACCCCACUCCACAACAACAACGAUGCAAGAUUUCUCCCUGAAAAGGCUGAAGUUAUUGAGUACUCCUUUGAGGAACGAAGACUCGCCUUCAUGCUACAAUCUGAGUCUCCGAUCCACGUCUGAUUUCAAUCUGUCUUUUAGAAAACAAAACUUAAAUUGUUUGUGGUUUGGUUUGUAAAAGGUCAAUUAUAUGAUUGGCUAUUUUUUCUCUUNNNNNNNNNNNNNNNNNNNNNNNNNNNNNNNNNNNNNNNNNNNNNNNNNNNNNNNNNNNNNNNNNNNNNNNNNNNNNNNNNNNNNNNNNNNNNNNNNNNNUGUGUACGUAAAAUAUUUUCUUUUUAGCAUAUCUUAAGUAAAACUUUCCGUAACGGUGUAGCAGGUAUCAGGGGCAUCAAAAUCAUGGAAUGGAAGCAGGACCAAGUGCAAGUAAUUACAUGUUGGGUUGGUUACCUUAUGACACCAGCUCUAUUUGAAUCUUUCUUCAAUUUUUGACAUUUUAUAUGAAAACUCUCUUCCCCUCUUAGCUACAUGGUGAUUGAUUACCUCGCUCUAUUAUCUCUGUCUUGUAUGCAUUUGUGUGUGUGUAAUGUUUAUUAUGCCCUUCUACAAUUAUUUUUUUUUUUGACACAUUACUCCCAAUGCUCCAACACCGUCACACUAAAAUCUUGAGUACAUGUAUACAUAUUCCCUUAUGGCUUCUAUAGUUAAAUUUGUGUUAAGUAGAGUAUAUGCUUCCAGCUCCAAAAUCUUUAUAAUUCCCAUUUUUGUGUUAUGUAGUAAGGGUAAGACUUUUGUGUAAAUAUAUAUUUUAACAAUGAACUAUAAUGUACAGUGGACAGAGAGUAUAUCUCACACUAGCUUAUCCAGAGGCUCUUGUAUGUAUGCAAAUCAACAUGAAGUUGUUAACUGCCUGUCAAGGAGAAACCCAUUGGUUAGUUUAUCUAUAUAUAGGCCCACACCUGAUAUUAUUUGGGCUACUUCUUAUGCAAGACCGAAGGAGGACUCAUCUUCCAUGAACUUGCCAAAAAUUUCAGUAAACCGACGACCUUAGCCAAACCAAAAUCAGAAAAAAAAAUUUGAUUACAAGAAGAGAGUUAACUGCUAAGAGAAUUUAGAAGUAUAUAUGUUACAGUAAAUGAAGUAUCUGAUUCUUAGAGCACCAUUAACCUAGCACCCCACUUGGGGUGCUUAUUAUUUUAUUUUUUUUUAGUUUUUUGUCUGAUUUAAAAAAAAAAAAAAAAUUAAAAACGAGCCAAUCAUGAACCGCCACGUGUUAGUGGGGCCCGCGAAACAGUACAAGAUCCAACAAAACCCGACGCUUAAUCUGGCGUCUUUGACGUCGCUGCUUCGUCUUUUGCUGUGGAGCCCACCCUUUAGCACUUCUCCAAGCGUCCCCGUUAAUCCUGCUCUUAGGGUCUUUUUACCUAUUAAAUGAAACAUUUGGUCAUUUUCCUCCUUGUGGUCUAUUUUUGUGACCAAAACUUGAAAAUAUCUAUUUAGUAGAUUUACCCUUUUUAUAAACCAAAAACUUGAAAUUUUUUAAAAAAAGAACCAAAAUUAAAUCUAAAUCCAAAUUGAACACCUAAGAUCUCUUAUGGAGUUUUUAUAAUUUACUAUUUUUCCUCUUCAAACGAUAAUCGUUCAAGUGUUAAUGUAACAAAGUUGACAAACUAACACUUCAUAUCAUGGGCUUUUGGCUUGUGACAAUAUAUUUGGCCCCUGAUUUUAAUACAGAUUAUUACAGAACCAAAUCAUUAGCAAAAACAAAACAGAAGAGAAAUAUGCUUGAUACUUGAAGAAAAUCAAGACCACUAGAGAUUUGCAAAUUGGAACCCAGCUAGGCAGCAUCUCCAACAGGCCUUCCCAUUGCUGCAUGUUAAAGUAUGAAAAACUACAAAGAUAUAAUGAAAUAUGUUUCGAGUAUGUGUUGGAUACUGAUAUACCUUGAGACUUUUCACAUUGAUAUUAACUAAUGCAACUAAAACACACACAAGCUCACAGUCGCAUAUAUGAGAGAUGGGAUCUUAACCCUCGGCCCAAUGUGUUUCUUCGAGCAAUACUAAUAGCUUAAAGCCGCUUUUAUCAUACUCAAGAAUACGAAAACUCAGUUGUAACAUUAUGAAAACCAUCAUGUGAUAGAUAGCAUGAAGUAGAAAAUAUUCAGAGUUUGAUGCUUCUUCUAUAGAACAACAUAGUAGAGUGAGUAUCUUAACAAAUGCAGUAAUUACAUCCAAUAUUUAGUAAAGAGCUGUAGAUUCUUUCACCGUUGGUUACAAACUAAAUCAUCAUGCAACCAAUCAGAUACUUAUAACAUCAUUUACCAAGCAAGAGUUAUUCUAAAAUAGUGGCAAGACAAUCAUGGUUAAAAUUAGGCAAGAAUAUGAAAUAACAAUCAAAUAACCAUGUGACAGGUUUUGGGUAGAUGGUUCUUCCUCAUCCUUCUUAUGAUAAUGAUAGGCCCUGUUCGUUUCGUAAACUGGACGCGGCAUCCAGACGCAGACGCGGAUCGAUGUUCGUUUGGCGCGAAAUAGGAGGUUAAGUUGGACGCGGCAUCCAGAUUAAUUUUGAAAACUCAUCCGGAUUUUUCGGGAUUUCUGGAUGAGAUGUUUGAACGCUUCCAACUACAGCAAACUCAUCCAAAAGUGCUAAAAGUCGGUAAUACCCUUAUUUUAUUUUAAAAAUUAUAAAAGUUUUGCCAUUAAUUUUUUUUAACCUAGAUCGUCGUAUCUCUUCAUCCUCCUCUCUUCAACCUCAGAUCUCUGCAACCAUGAACCUCUGAUCUCUCUCAGCCCUCUCUCUCUGUCUCUCUCUCUCUCAGGCAGUCUCUCUCUCUCGAACCCAUCUCUCUCUCUCACAGAGUCUCUCUCUCGAACCCAUCUCUCUCUCACGCAGUCUCUCCCUCUCUCAAGCUCUAUUGGUAACUCUCUCUCCCCCUCUCUCUCUCUCUCUCUCGCUCUCUCUCUCUCUCUCUCUCUCUCUCUCUCUCUCUCUCUCUCUAGCAGAUUGAUUCUUUGUUUUCAGGUUGCUGGCUGAGGAAGACAUUGACUCACAUGUCGUUAUAAACGGAUUGGGCUUUUAUUGAUCAUGAACCGAUUUCCCUUGUGUUUUGCCUUGUUUAACUCAUGUCAAUAUCAAGGCACAUCAGACGUGGACUGAAGUCAAGCUCGACAAAUCUUCACCUUUUGAAUUCGGACGACCGAGAAACCCUCGUAACUGUCUCGCUUAUUUUCGUCAAAUCUCCACUUCUUCAUAAACCCUCAACACCGAAAAACCCUCACAAAUGUCUAGCUUAUCAUAGUGUCAUAAAGAUAUCAGUGACUUUUACCUCUUCGAUAAAAUUUAUUUUUAUCAUUUGAACUCUUGUCUACUAUAUUUGUGAUUAAAAAAAAUUGUAGGGUUAUCCUAUGGUAUUUUUCUUUUUAAAAUGUAUCUUAAUAAACUAACAUUUUGUAUGUUUAAUGAAAUAAUCAGAAAAUAGGAGAAUUUUCAUGUUUACUACUUUGUUGGUGUCAUUAUUUAUGUUUAUCAUAACUAAAGAAAUAUUUUCUUCAUUAAGAGGCAAAAAAUUCUUAUACCAUUACUCUCUAUAUAUAUAAUAUAUAAUUAUUUAAAUAAAUAAAAAUAAUUUUUAUGUUUUUGAAUUAUAGUUUUUCAAAAUCGAUUUUUUUAUUAUAUUUUUGUGAAAAAAAAUUUCAAAUUUUUUUUCAAAUUUUGUUUUCAAAAUUUCUUUUUGAAAUUCAAAAAGUAUUUUUGAAACUAUUUUUGAAAAAAUAAAAAAAUUUAUGUAUUUAUUUAUAUAUUUAUUAGAAUCCUAAAUUUUACAUUCCAAAAACCAUAUCCCAGCUCUCAACUCUAAACCAUCUAAUUCUAUAAUAGUAAAGUUAAUAUAAACACACAAAUAAAUCAAUGUAGAUUUUAACAUAUUUAAAUUUAAAAUUUAAUACUAUAAAAAAAACUAUCCAAUUAAUAUUAGCUGAUUUAAUUUUGAAAUAAACAGUUUCGAUAUAAUAAAUUAUAUUAUAUAUUUUAAUAGGUUAAAAACAUGAAAAAAUUAAAAUUGAGUUAAUGUGUACAUAACUUGAGCAAAUCUUCCAAAAUUUUUAGAGUAAUUGCCAAAAAUAAUACAUUCAUAAUACCAUUUUUAUGUUUAUACUAACCAUUUUUACUCUUAUUUUUAAAGAGAAAAUACAUUUAUAACCCUGACUUUCUAAUUUAUAAAAAUAUUUUAUUUGAUAUUUAUUUAUUUUAAUAUUAGUAUUUAUGUUUUCAAAAUAUAUAGAUAUAUAUACAUAUAUAUAUAUAUAUAUAUCAUACUAAUAUUAUUUUCACUGUAUAAAUCAACACAUAAUUAUAUUAUUUUAUAAAUAAUUUGCAAAUGUUAAUUUUAAGAAAAAUGAAAAUCUAAAAAAUAAUAAAAAAAAAUUUAUAUUAAAAAGCACAAUUAGCCAAUUAGGUCCGUAUUGUAUUUCUAAAUGAAUACAAAAACAUUUAUACUGUCCAAGAUAUUGUUUCCAUUUUGUUUUCAAUCGAAUGAGCGCUAAAGAUUUACAAUUUGACGGUUUAGAUUUAUUUGUCGAGUCGAAGCGCGAUGCACAUGAUUGGGACCCAAUAUUUGAAAUUCAAAAGCUCAAAAAGGAAUAAGAAAGAGCUGAUCCGGUAACGGACGGAAAUUCAAAAUCUAUUCUCACAUCGACCUUUAACAUCUUUCAACAACGGCUAUUUCUCUCUCUCUCUCUCUCUCUCUCUACAGAAACUUCGAUCUUGGGUUUCAAAUUGUUUCUCUAUUUCGAAAAUCCAAAAUCUGAUCGAUCUCCUUCCAAUCCAACCUAGUAGCAGCAGGAACAGAUCAAACUUCAAAUUGAGCAGCUCUGGAGAAAUCUCUAGUUUCAGGCAAGCCUUCUCUCUCAUUGAUUAAUUCUGAAAUCGAUUGCUUCCCAAUGUCAAAUCGACUCUACAUAGUUUAGUCGAUUCGAUUGGUUGAUUGAGAUAUGUAUGGGAAUCGCUAGCGAAUCUCCAGUUUCCUUUUUGGGAAUGACAUAGUUAGUUAAGGUUUCCUUUACAGGCAGAAGAAGCAUUUCGAAAUGGCAAAAGAUCCGAUUCUUCAAGUAGAAACAACCUGUGGAUCUCUCCUUUACGAACUUCAGGUGGUGUGAGUUUGAUCAAUUAAAAAAGAAAAAAGACUAUUUUGUCUUUCGUAUCAUUAUUAUCUGUAUUAUUAAGAUCUUGUUUUGUUUAUGUUUCUUAAAAAAAAAAAAAAACAGAUUAUUUGGGAUGAAGUUGGAGAAACUGAAACUGAUAGAGAUAAAAUGCUGCUUGAGCUUGAACGUGAAUGCUUGGAAGUUUACCGAAGAAAAGUUGACCAAGCUAAUGGAUGCAGAGCUCAGCUAAGACAAGCUAUUGCUGAUGCUGAAGCAGAGCUUGCUGCCAUCUGUUCUGCAAUGGGGGAGCGCCCUGUGCAUAUUAGACAGGUGAGUAGCGUAUCUGAUGAGGAUUAAGUGUUGAGGAAGGUUUGUCCAUGUUAACCUUCUUUCUUUUGUAUGUGUUUUAAGUCUGAUCAAAGCGUUGGGAGCUUGAAACAAGAGCUUGGGACGAUUCUUCCUGAAUUGGAAGAGAUGCAAAAGAGGAAAACCGAGAGAAGAAACCAGUUCCUAUUUGUCCUUGAAGAAAUUGAGAAUAUCACUAAUGAUAUCAAAGGUCAAGGAGAACUUGUUCUCCCCAAACCACCCAUCGAUGAGACCGACUUGUCUAUGAGAAAGCUUGAGGAGUUACACUGCCAUCUGCAAGCACUUCAGAAGGAGAAGGUGAAAUUUCAUUUGAACUUGGCUUCUUCUUUUCUUUUUCUUUUUUUUGGGUUAUCUGUUUAUUUACUUUGUUUCCUUCAGAGUGAUCGAGUGGAGACUAUUCGGAAGCACCUGUGUACUCUAUAUUCUCAUUGUUCAGUACUUGGUAUGGACUUCAAUGAGGUUGUUAGCCAAGUCAAUCCCACAUUAACUGAUCCAGAGGGACCAAGAAGCUUAAGUGAUCAUACCAUUGACACCUUGGAUGCUGCAGUUCAAAAGCUGAGGGAAGUUAAGAUACAGAGAAUGCAGA